GUUGAACGCUGGCGGCAGGCUUAACACAUGCAAGUCGAGCGGAGAUGAGGUGCUUGCACCUUAUCUUAGCGGCGGACGGGUGAGUAAUGCUUAGGAAUCUGCCUAUUAGUGGGGGACAACAUUACGAAAGGAAUGCUAAUACCGCAUACGUCCUACGGGAGAAAGCAGGGGAUCUUCGGACCUUGCGCUAAUAGAUGAGCCUAAGUCGGAUUAGCUAGUUGGUGGGGUAAAGGCCUACCAAGGCGACGAUCUGUAGCGGGUCUGAGAGGAUGAUCCGCCACACUGGGACUGAGACACGGCCCAGACUCCUACGGGAGGCAGCAGUGGGGAAUAUUGGACAAUGGGGGAAACCCUGAUCCAGCCAUGCCGCGUGUGUGAAGAAGGCCUUAUGGUUGUAAAGCACUUUAAGCGAGGAGGAGGCUACUGAGACUAAUACUCUUGGAUAGUGGACGUUACUCGCAGAAUAAGCACCGGCUAACUCUGUGCCAGCCGCCGCGGUAA
rnacentral:rRNA from 1 species